AAAAGUCACAGAAAACUGAAAACAGAAAGCAUUUAGCGCAUUGCGGAGGAUCGCCACUCGCUGUGUCUAGAUGAAAAUAUAACGAAAUUAAAUUAAUUACAAUCAUUAUCGCUCCAUGCACACCUGCUGAAGGUGAGGAUACCAGGGACUACGACGCCGGAAAACCAGAAGCAAUAAAGUUAAUUUGUUCCUGAUUCUGGCACCUCCGGCAAUCUUUGUUUGUCCGAGUCGAAAGUAAUUAAAUCUAUAUGUUUGAUGCAUUUUUGCUGAAAAAUGAA